AUUGGACGCUGGCGGCAGGCCUAACACAUGCAAGUCGAACGGUAACAGGAAUCAGCUUGCUGAUUCGCUGACGAGUGGCGGACGGGUGAGUAAUGUCUGGGAAACUGCCUGAUGGAGGGGGAUAACUACUGGAAACGGUAGCUAAUACCGCAUAACGUCGCAAGACCAAAGAGGGGGACCUUCGGUCCUCUUGCCAUCGGAUGUGCCCAGAUGGGAUUAGCUAGUAGGUGGGGUAACGGCUCACCUAGGCGACGAUCCCUAGCUGGUCUGAGGGGAUGACCAGCCACACUGGAACUGAGACACGGUCCAGACUCCUACGGGAGGCAGCAGUGGGGAAUAUUGCACAAUGGGCGCAAGCCUGAUGCAGCCAUGCCGCGUGUAUGAAGAAGGCCUUCGGGUUGUAAAGUACUUUCAGCGAGGAGGAAGGUGUUGAGGUUAAUAACCUCAGCAAUUGACGUUACUCGCAGAAGAAGCACCGGCUAACUCCGUGCCAGCAGCCGCGGUAA
rnacentral:rRNA from 1 species